rnacentral:rRNA from 1 species
GACGAACGCUGGCGGCGUGCUUAACACAUGCAAGUCGAACGGAAAGGCCCUGCUUGCAGGGUACUCGAGUGGCGAACGGGUGAGUAACACGUGGGUGAUCUGCCCUGCACUUCGGGAUAAGCCUGGGAAACUGGGUCUAAUACCGGAUAGGAGCCAUUUUUAGUGUGAUGGUUGGAUAGUUUUUUCGGUGUAUGAUGAGCUCGCGGCCUAUCAGCUUGUUGGUGGGGUAAUGGCCUACCAAGGCGGCGACGGGUAGCCGGCCUGAGAGGGUGGACGGCCACAUUGGGUCUGAGAUAAGGCCCAGACUCCUACGGGAGGCAGCAGUGGGGAAUAUUGCACAAUGGGCGCAAGCCUGAUGCAGAGACGCCGCGUGGGGGAUGACGGCCUUCGGGUUGUAAACUCCUUUCGCUAGGGACGAAGCUUUUUGUGACGGUACCUAGAUAAGAAGCACCGGCUAACUACGUG